UACGAAGGGGGCGAGCGUUGUUCGGAUUUACUGGGCGUAAAGGGCGCGCAGGCGGCUUAUUUUGUCAGGCGUGAAAGCCCCGGGCUUAACCUGGGAACUGCGUUUGAUACGGAUGGGCUAGAGUUCGGGAGAGGAGCGUGGAAUUCCCAGUGUAGAGGUGAAAUUCGUAGAUAUUCGCAAGAACACCAGUGGCGAAGGCGGCUCACUGGCCCGGUACUGACGCUGAGGUGCGAAAAGCGUGGGGAGCAAACAGGG
rnacentral:rRNA from 1 species